UUUGUUUGUGUCUGUGGAGGAAGAUCCAUGCCAGCUAUGGGCGAAAGGAUCCACGUAAACCGUGAGAAGAACUUGCGGUGAUCAUGGCAUAGCUUAGAAGUAAGUCCUCGGAGAAACUCCGGUCAAGGCAAGUGUGGGGGCAAAGACCAGGUCAGGCAAAUAAG
rfam:Eubacterium infirmum F0142 genomic scaffold supercont1.1, whole genome shotgun sequence.